rnacentral:lncRNA from 1 species
UAGAACCUCAGCAUUCUCCAUAUCAGCAUCAAGGUGGGCUUUAGAAGUCUCAUUUUACAUUGCAAGGAACAAGACAGUUUAUUUCUCAAAGAGACUGAAAGUCAAAGAGGUUCAGUAACGGGUCCAAGACCACACAGCUGAAGAAGCCAGCACUGGGAUUUGAAUGCCACCCUCUCUGGCCUGGAAGCUGAAGCUGGCAUAAUCACCAGUUAUCUUUCCCUGACCCCAUCGAGGAAGAAUGAGACCCAAUACUGGAGAGGACCCCAAGGUGUAAGAAAAUUAGCCCAAGAGAAAGCCUGAAGCUCAUCCCAGAAAACCCUGCAUUUACUAAUCUUCCCUUCUGUUUCGGAGAUAAUGUAGACAUCUUUGGGUUUAUUGCCCCAGUGGCAGAGAAAGAGGCACCAGCGAUCCCCCACAGCAGAGGAAAAUGCCAAUGUGGUUUUUAUUAGCCUUGAGAAUGAAUUUUAUUUAAUACCCAUACACCAGAUUUAGAGAGUCAAUUUGGCUCUUCUUGCGUAAAAAUUCUCUGGAGGGUGGUGGUGAUGAUAAUCUGAUCGCAGAAGCUGAGAAGUAAGUGCAUCUCAGGAAAGUGUUCCAACUGGAGCCAGGACGCUGUCUUCAGAGAAGAAAAGAGACACAGCCAACCCUGAGUUGGAGGAGAGCUCUUGGCACCAGAGGGGCUGCCCUCAGAAGUGGAGCCUCUCUCAGGAACCAGGCAGAGUCAGUACUCUGUGUUGUAGAAAAACAGAACAAAAGUCUUGGUCUGGGAGGAGCUCGCUGGGGAGGCCUAGGAGCAGAGGAUGUUGGGAAAGUAUUGGUACUGUGGGUUGUAGCUCCGUAGGUUUCUCUUGAGGCAGUAGACGAGCUUCCGGUCACAGGCACAGAGGUUCACAUGGCAGAAGGGCCCGGGCUCUGCAAAAGGACACCAAGAGCAGAAUGAGGGUGGGAAGAGCAUGCUCCAGUCUCAGCAGAGACCCCAUGGACUUCCUGCUCCGAGGAGCUUUCAGCCUGAUGGAAGAGGCAUGGCUCCUAAAUCGGGGGAAUAGAGAAUCUGAUGGAAGGGGCACAGCUGCUGCUCAGGGUGAGGUUUCAGUGCAGGAGACAGCUCCUGCCCUCAGGGAGUUCCCAGUCUGAUAGAGGAAGCACCUUCCUUCCUCUGGGGGACUCCCAGUCUGAUGGUGGAGGCAGCCGCUGCUCUGGAGGAACUCUCAUUCUCAUAGAGCAGAACCAUCCCCAGAUUUAGCCUUGAACUCAGAGGCCCUGAGCUUGAAUCCUGCUGUGUGCACUGGCAGGCUUUCUAGCUUCCAUUUCUUGAUGUCUAAAAUGGAGAAGCCUAAACAUACUCUACAGGUAUUUUGUGGGGGAAUCAAGAAAAAGGAAGCAUGUCAAGCACUUUUGCACCCAGUGGAUGAUUCAGCCCUACCCUGGGGGUCUGAUACAGCUGCAAUAAUCCUGCUCCUCUCGUCCCAGUUCUGCACCCAACUCCUCCUCCCCCAACAAGAUACAGGCUGGCUGUUCUCUAGGGCAGCUGAACUUAAAGUCAGGUGCUCUUCCAAUGGCCCGAACGGGAAGCCCCAGCCUUACCGCAGGUGACCACGCCCCACGCGAAUCUGUAUUUGUAGGACUGUGUGCGAAUGUUGCAGCCCUUCUCCUCCAGCCGCCCAUAGCAGUGGUCAUGCGCCCAACAGCACCUGUCCGUGCAAGAGACUUAGAUCCCGAGUGGGAGGGGUGCCCUCCUGACCCCAUCCCUAAUAGGAGCAAAAAUUCAACCAUGUCACUUUAGCAGAGGCCACCUUGGUGGACGCGAUGUGGCAGGGAGGAUCUGGUAGUGUGACUGAGUAAUUUCCUGCUCCUCAUUUCUAGCCAGCAGGUCAUGGACCCUCUUUUUCCUCCUGGUCUCACGACUAGACUACAUUUCCCAGCCUCCCUUGCGAGUAGGUGUGGCCACAUGAUUUGGUCCUGGCCAGGGGAGGUAGGUGGAAUUAAUACACUCCACCUCCAGACCUGCCCAGACAAACUUCCCACAGUUUACUCCACUGUCCUUCUGCCGCCAUCCUUCGGCUGGAUGGAGAUGACCCAGCAAAGAAUUCUGAGGCCAUAGGGGAUGGCAGAACUACAAGAUGGGAGGAGCCAACGUGUGAUUCCUACUGAACUGUUAUGUGAUCCAGAAAUAAACUUCUCGUAUCACAGGUCCCACAUCUGUGGAUCAACCAAUAUGGAUGGAAAAUGUAAGCAGGCCUAUUUUCUUGUGUCUAUACUAAACAUGUACAGUCUUUUUUCUUGUCAUUAUUCCCAAACAAUACAACAACAACUUCCAUAGCACUGACGUUGCAUCAGCUACGAUAAAUAAUUUAGAAAUGAUUUAAAGUAUGUGAUCGCAGCUGGGCGCGGUGGCUCAUGCCUAUAAUCUCAGCAGUUUGGGAGGCCAAGGCAGACUGCUCAAGUCCAGGAGUUUGAGACCAGCCUGGGCAACAUGGUGAAACCCUGUCUCUAUUUAAAAAUGUAUAUAUAAUUAGCCAGGCAUGGUGGCACGUGCCUGCAGUCCCAGCUACUCAGGAGGCUGAGGUGGGAGAAUCACCUGAGUGCAGAAGGUCUAGGAUGCAGUGAGCUGAGAUCGCACCAUUGCACUCCAGCCUGGGCAACCAGAGUGAGACCCUGUCUCAAAGAAAAAAAAAAAUGGUUGGGGGGAUACAAUCACAUAGGUUAUAUGCAAAUACUAUGCCAUUUUAUAUCAGGGACUAGGGCAUCUGCAGAUUUUGGUGUCCACGGGGAUCCUGGAACCAGUCCAAGGGAUGACUGUAUGUUAGGUGUAGCAGAUUGCAUAUAAAAGGUUUUCUUGGUUUACAGAAUAAUUGAGAUCUUACAGAGGAAACACCCAGUUCCUCCUA